rnacentral:rRNA from 1 species
GCGACCCCAGGUCAGGCGGGAUUACCCGCUGAAUUUAAGCAUAAAUAUAAAAGCGGAGAGA